GAUCAUGGCUCAGAUUGAACGCUGGCGGCAGGCUUAACACAUGCAAGUCGAGCGGUAGCACAGGGGAGCUUGCUCCCCGGGUGACGAGCGGCGGACGGGUGAGUAAUGUCUGGGAAACUGCCUGAUGGAGGGGGGAUAACUACUGGAAACGGUAGCUAAUACCGCAUAACGUCGCAAGACCAAAGAGGGGGGACCUUCGGGCCUCUUGCCAUCAGAUGUGCCCAGAUGGGAUUAGCUAGUAGGG
rnacentral:rRNA from 1 species